UCUGGCCUCGAGGCUUUGCAGGUAUGGUUUCUGUGUCAUAUGUGCAUCAGUAGAUGGUAGAGUGGACAGAGACUAUGUCUGCAUUCAAUAUUCUGACUUGUGAACACAUUAAUGAUUAGUAGCCUAACAUU